AAACCAUAAAAGUUUAAUUUGUAUUCAGUUAUUUAAUAAUAGUAAUAUUCACCCUGGAGGUCUCUCAACUAAUUAGAAAUCUCUUUUAAAACACUGAAAAAUUUUAGACAGUACCUAAAGGACAGAAAGAAGACUCAAAUUUCAGUCAAAAGCCUGACUGCUUCAAACAGUUUGCUGAACAAAGUGAAACAAAGAAAUCUCCUCAGAUGUCAACCUUUCCCCAGAGAUCAAGAGGCUUAGGCAUGGACAGGAGCAAGGAAGAAUAUACUUCUGAGCUCUGAAUCUGCAGGAGAGCAUUUUCUUGAUUGAUUAAAGCAGCAAAAAAGAAUAUGAAUUAAAGCAAUCUGGCCAAAUGAGAGAACAGACUAACACAAGUUAUACUGCUUUGCGCAGCUAGAAGAGAACAUGGUUAACACAGGAAAAACAGCUGGUCAAAGCAGAUGGAGAACGGGCAACCACCCUUUCUGUAGCAAGAACCUUUGAAUACUUGAAGAUUAUUGUUUAAUCACUCAUCAGCCUUAUUGUCUCCAAAAUAAAAAACAAAGUAGAA